rnacentral:rRNA from 1 species
UCAUGGGCGCAGGCCUGAACCAGCCAAGUAGCGUGAAGGAUGACUGCCCUAUGGGUUGUAAACUUCUUUUAUAUGGGAAUAAAGUUUUCCACGUGUGGAAUUUUGUAUGUACCAUAUGAAUAAGGAUCGGCUAACUCCGUGCCAGCAGCCGCGGUAAUACGGAGGAUCCGAGCGUUAUCCGGAUUUAUUGGGUUUAAAGGGAGCGUAGGUGGACAGUUAAGUCAGUUGUGAAAGUUUGCGGCUCAACCGUAAAAUUGCAGUUGAUACUGGCUGUCUUGAGUACAGUAGAGGUGGGCGGAAUUCGUGGUGUAGCGGUGAAAUGCUUAGAUAUCACGAAGAACUCCGAUUGCGAAGGCAGCUCACUGGACUGCAACUGACACUGAUGCUCGAAAGUGUGGGUAUCAAACAGGAUUAGAUACCCUGGUAGUCCAAGGGCGAAUUC